rnacentral:rRNA from 1 species
GACGAACGCUGGCGGCGUGCUUAACACAUGCAAGUCGAACGGAAAGGCCCUGCUUGCAGGGUGCUCGAGUGGCGAACGGGUGAGUAACACGUGGGUGAUCUGCCCCUUACUUUGGGAUAAGCCUGGGAAACUGGGUCUAAUACUGGAUAGGACCAUGCUGUAGGUGGUGUGGUGGAAAGAUUAGUUUCGGUAAGGGAUGAGCUCGCGGCCUAUCAGCUUGUUGGUGGGGUAAUGGCCUACCAAGGCGUCGACGGGUAGCCGGCCGGAGAGGGUGGACGGCCACGUUGGGACUGAGACACGGCCCAGAAGCCUACGGGAGGCAGCAGUGGGGAAUAGUGUACAAUGGGCGCAAGCCGGAUGCAGCGACGCCGCGUGGGGGAUGACGGCCUUCGGGUUGUAAACUCCUUUCAGCCAUGACGAAGCCCUUGUGGUGACGGUAGUGGUAGAAGAAGCACCGGCUAACUACGUG